GAUGCGGGGAAAGGGGGGCGUCGUCAUGGCAACAACGGGAGCCCCCCGGACCGGCCACGCAGCCCCGGGCCGCGGGGCCAGGGUUAGACGGGACGGGAGAGCACGGAGCCACGGGAAAGUGGGAGUGGAAGGAACCAAGGCUGGAAGCACAAGGGCCAAAUGUACAAAAAGCUGCUGAGAAGAACCCUCGCUGUGUUUUGGAUGGGCUGGAGAGAGGUGAUUGCUUGCUCACCCUGACAGCCAGCUCUGGCUGCUCCAAACCUGGGGCACAGAGUGUUCCUGCUCAUUUUGGAGACUGUAGGAACAACCUCACAGUUUUUGUGUAUCUGCAAGUUCCUUGAGUUUUGUACUCCAAAAUUUUUACCAUAUUAAAAAUAUUAAGUUAGA